rnacentral:rRNA from 1 species
GACGAACGCUGGCGGCGUGCUUAACACAUGCAAGUCGAACGGAAAGGCCCUGCUUUUGUGGGGUGCUCGAGUGGCGAACGGGUGAGUAACACGUGAGUAACCUGCCCUUGACUUUGGGAUAACUUCAGGAAACUGGGGCUAAUACCGGAUAGGAGCUCCUGCUGCAUGGUGGGGGUUGGAAAGUGUCGGCGGUUGGGGAUGGACUCGCGGCUUAUCAGCUUGUUGGUGGGGUAGUGGCUUACCAAGGCUUUGACGGGUAGCCGGCCUGAGAGGGUGACCGGCCACAUUGGGACUGAGAUACGGCCCAGACUCCUACGGGCGGCAGCAGUGGGGAAUAUUGCACAAUGGGCGGAAGCCUGAUGCAGCAACGCCGCGUGCGGGAUGACGGCCUUCGGGUUGUAAACCGCUUUCGCCUGUGACGAAGCGUGAGUGACGGUAAUGGGUAAAGAAGCACCGGCUAACUACGUG